AAGUCGUAACAAGGUUUCCGUAGGUGAACCUGCGGAAGGAUCAUUACACUCAGUAGUUUACUACUGUUAAAGAGGCUGUUAGUCUGUAUAGCUUUACCGCUGAUGAGCAGCUGGCCUCUUUUCUCCACCCUUGUCUUUUGCGCACCCAUGUUUCCUCGGCAGGCGAGCCUGCCGGGUGAAACAACUUCAAACCUGUUUAAUUUUCAAUCAGCGUCUGAACAAAUUAAUAAUUACAA
rnacentral:misc_RNA from 1 species